rnacentral:rRNA from 1 species
AAGACCUUGCGCUUUUGGAGCGGCCGAUGUCUGAUUAGCUAGUUGGUGGGGUAAUGGCCUACCAAAGCUUCGAUCAGUAGCUGGUCUGAGAGGACGGCCAGCCACACUGGGACUGAGACACGGCCCAGACUCCUACGGGAGGCAGCAGUGGGGAAUUUUGGACAAUGGGCGCAAGCCUGAUCCAGCCAUGCCGCGUGAGUGAAGAAGGCCUUCGGGUUGUAAAGCUCUUUCAGCCGGGAAGAAAAGGCUGCGACUAAUAAUCGCAGUUCAUGACGGUACCGGAAGAAGAAGCACCGGCUAACUACGUGCCAGCAGCCGCGGUAAUACGUAGGGUGCGAGCGUUAAUCGGAAUCACUGGGCGUAAAGGGUGCGCAGGCGGUUUUGUAAGUCAGAUGUGAAAUCCCCGGGCUUAACCUGGGAACU